ensembl:lncRNA
GUUUCCCACCAACCACUGCCUGAAAAUGAGCAUCCACCUCCCCCAGAGCAAUGACCCCUCCACCAGAAUAUGCCACCCCAAAAAGGGUCCUACUCAGUCCCAGUGAUAGUACAGCUCAGCUACUCCUCCCUCUGCUCACCCACAAAGCCAAUUCUAGAUGUGCCCAGUGCUGACAGGGAGCACGACCCAGGGGGAAUGCCUAGGUUCCCUCCCACCAUUCAGACAGCUAAUCUCAACUACUUAUCUCUCAUCCAGAGUCUACAUUCUAGACUAGAAAGGCCUAAGUGUUGGGCUUGGGGGACGGCCUUGCACAGAUUAAAUGCAAGAUACACAUUCUUCCUUUCAACUGGCCCCCUGGUGCUGGCAGGAACCCUGGAUGGAGGAAGGCUGGUGACUGGGUACAGAGAACCCUAUUGGGAGUUCUGGCUCCCCACCGUCCACCAUUACUCCUGCAGGCUCUAAGACCAGCACCCACCUUCUCUGGGCCUUUAUUUUUGCUUCCCUCUCAGUAAGAGGGAGGGAGGGUGAGGACUGAGGGAGGGAGGGUUAGCUGCUUUCUAGUCCUCCACUUAAAGGAUUUCUUAAAAUGCACGAGUCUGGCAGAGGUAAGCCACAAAGUCACUAACACUUUAGCAAGAAUGAGUUGUCUUGGGAGGCGAACAAUUUAGAAAAGGUGGAGGUGGUGGAAAGCAAAGUUAAGUGAGCAUGGUACUUGGAAAGUAACUCAGAGAUGACCCUACAUUUUUGAAUUCUGUGUUGAAGGCUGGAAGGCGUGGAUCCCUGGGAAGAGAUGGGAAGCCAGAGAUCUUUCAGUCCCCCUAGCACCCCGGAGUCCCAAAGACACUGCUCUGUCCCAGUACUUAAGCACAAUUCUACUGACUAUCUCAUCCAACAUACCCCAGACCCGCAACAUCAUGUCCCCAACACAGUAACAUUUACACUGUCAUCUCCACUCUCCGCAUUUUAUUUAGUCUUCUCUGGCCUGCAGUUCCCGCGUGCAAAUGGCCUUCCUCCAUGUCGUCGUCCGGCUUCAGAAAAUUCCCCAUCCUUCAAAAGCCCUGAUGAAGCGGCCCCCAAAAGGGCCAGCUCAGAUCCCACCCCAGGGACCAGGAAAUCAGACUCCUCUCCCUGAGCCCCUUAAAACUUUAUCCACACCUUUUCCCCAGCACUUGGCAUAUCCUAUCUUGGAUCAGGUUUGGCUCCUUUGGCUCCUCGGUUGACUGAGCGCUCCCUGAGAGCAGGAACUGGGCCUCCUCCGCCUCUCUAACCCAACAACCCAGCAGGGCGCCUGGCACACAGUGGGUGCUCGAGAAAUGCUGGAAGAAGGGGAACGCGGAGUCGGGAGCCAUCUAUCUCAAUUACGGCUCGGCCUCUGCUUCUUUGCCCAUCUAAGAACACAACUCUAGAGAACUGGGCCAUCAGACACUUUUCUUCGGGGAAUAACACUGGAUUAAAAGGCAGUUCAAGGGGCCGGCCCCGUGGCCGAGAGAUUAAGUUCACGCACUCCGCUUCGGCAGCCCAGAGUUUCGCUGGUUCGGAUCCUGGGUGUGGACAUGGCACCGCUCACCAAGCCAUGCUGAGGGGGCACCCUGCAUGCCACAUCUAGAAGGACCCACAACUAAAAAUACACAACUAUGUACUGGGGGAUUUUGGGAGAAAAAUGAAAAAUAAAAUAAAAUAAAAUAAAGACAGUUCAAGGCAUGCCAAGAGGAAUUGUGAUUAUCUGCUCUAGGAGCAUUGUCCACACCAUGAAUUAUUAUGCACCCUGGACCUGUCUCUUUCGAGUCACUGACAAGUGGAGGAGACACCUAGUUUAAAACUCUAGCUUAGCCUCUGACCAGUGAAAACAUGUAGACCAUGUCAAAUUAGC